rnacentral:rRNA from 1 species
AACAAACGCUGGCGGCGUGCCUAACACAUGCAUGUCGUACGAGAAAAUUCGCUUCGGCGAGUAAGUAAAGUGGCGCACGGGUGAGUAACGCGUGGAUAAUCUACCCUUUAGCUGGGGAUAACUCAUCGAAAGGUGGGCUAAUACCCGAUAAUACUGCUUCUACUGCGGUUGAGCAGUCAAAGGUAGCCUCUGUUUACAAGCUUCCACUGAAGGAUGAGUCCGCGUACCAUUAGCUAGUUGGUAGGGUAAUGGCCUACCAAGGCGACGAUGGUUAGCUGGCCGGAGAGGAUGAUCAGCCACACUGGAACUGAGACACGGUCCAGACUCCUACGGGAGGCAGCAGUGAGGAAUCUUGCGCAAUGGGGGAAACCCUGACGCAGCAACGCCGCGUGAGUGAGGAAGGUUUUCGGAUCGUAAAGCUCUGUCAGGUGGGAAGAAAUGUAUAGGGGUUAACAGCCCUUAUUCUUGACGGUACCACCAGAGGAAGCACCGGCCAACUCCGUGCCAGCCGCCGCCGUAACAC